UGGGUUGCAAAGAAGUAGGUAGCUUAACUUCGGGAGGGCGGCUUACCACUUGUGAUUCAUGACUGGGGUGAAGUCGUAACAAGG
rnacentral:rRNA from 1 species